rnacentral:rRNA from 1 species
GAUGAACGCUGGCGGCGCGCCUAACACAUGCAAGUCGAACGAUUAAAGCACCUUCGGGUGUGUAUAAAGUGGCGAACGGCUGAGUAACACGUGGGCAACCUGCCCCUUUCAUUGGGAUAGCCACGGGAAACCGUGGAUAAUACCGAAUACUUCGAGACUUCCGCAUGGAAGACUCGAGAAAGCUCCGGCGGAGUGGGAUGGGCCCGCGGCCUGUUAGCUUGUUGGUGGGGUAACGGCCUACCAAGGCAAUGAUGGGUAGCUGGGUUGAGAGACCGACCAGCCAGAUUGGGACUGAGACACGGCCCAGACUCCUACGGGAGGCAGCAGUGGGGAAUCUUGCACAAUGGGCGAAAGCCUGAUGCAGCGACGCCGCGUGCGGGAUGAAGGCCUUCGGGUUGUAAACCGCUUUCAGCAGGGACGAGGCGAAAGUGACGGUACCUGCAGAAGAAGCCCCGGCUAACUACGUG